UGCUGAGGAUGCUGGUGGGGCGUUGGAGUCUGGUCUCUGCCAGAGUGUGAAUUCAUUUAUUCUUGCUGGCGAAAUGAGAAUAUCAGUAGUUUGGCAUGUUUUACAUGUGGAUGCUUUAGAUUUUCUUGAGUAAAUGACUCAACGCUGGAUCGCGUGGCUUGGGCAAAGUUCCUCACCAUCCAAAACACAUCUAAUCUCUGGGAAAUUCCAAAAGCAUACUGGACUAGACAACUCUGAAAUCAUGGUGUCACCUGGCCAGUGAUCUCCAUUCUAUCAGAGGGUUCUUUUGAAGACCCUGACCUGGAGCUACAUGCUGACUACAGUUCUUUGCAGGAAUGGGACCUGCUGUCGAGGUUUCAUAACUGGCCGUUGUUCAGCACGCCAAGGGCUCGGCUUAAGAGUCCCUAGGAUCUCGGAGCUCUGGAGACAGGUGAAUCGAAGAUUUGCAGAUGACACCAAGAUUGGACAUGUUGUGGACAGUAAAGAAGAUUAUCAUGGCUUGCAGUGGGAUCUGGAUCAGCUGGAAAAAUGGGCUGAAAAAUGGCAGAUGAAAUUUCAUGCAGACAAGUCUUACACAGUGAAUGGUAGUGAACUGAGGAGUGUGGUAGAACAAAGGGAUCUGGGAAUACAUAUCCAUAACCUAUUGAAAGUGGCAUCUCAGAUAGAUAGGGUCGUAAAGAAAGAUUUUGGCUCAUCGGCCUUCAUAAGUCGAAGUAUUGAGGACAGCAGGUGGGAUGUUAUGAUGAAGUUGUAUAAGUCACUGGUGAGGCCUACUUUGAAGUACUCUGUCCAGGUUUGGUCACCUACCUACAGGAAAGAUGUAAAUAAGGUUGAAAGAGUACAGAGAAAAUUUACAAGGAUGUUGCCGGGUCUGGGGGACCUGAGUUAUAUGGAAAACGUGAAUAGGUUAGGAUUUUAUUCCUUGGAACAUUGAAGAUUGAGAGGAGAUUUGAUACAAUGAAGGGGUUAACAUAUGAGGAGCACUGGCAGCUUUGGGCCUGUACUCACUGGAAAUUAGAAGAAUGUGGGGGGAUCUCAUUGAAACCUACCGAAUGUUGAAAAGACUAGAUAGGGUGGAUGUGGAGAGGAUGUUUCCUUUGGUGUGGGUAUCCAGAACUAGAGGGUACAGCCUCAAAAUUGAGGGGUGACCCUUUAGAACAGAGAUAAGGAGGAAUUUUUUAAGCCAGAGAGUAGUAAAUCUGUGGAAUGCACUGCCAUAGACUGCUGUGGAGGUCAAGACAGAGGGUAUUUUUAAAGCGGAAGUUGAUCGUUUCCUGAUCGGUCAGGGCAUCAAAGGAUACGACAAGAAGGCAGAUGUAUGGGUUUGAGUGCGAUCUGGGAUUUGCCAUGAUGGCAUGGCAGAGCAGACUCAGUGGGCUGAAUAGUCUAUUCUGCUCCUGUGUCUUAUGGUCUAACAUUGGACCUCUUCAUGCUCAGGUGUAACCAGUUUGUCAGAUACAUUUUAAUCGGCCAAAUCAUCCUUGCCCUCACUGCCAUGUUGCACAGAUGGCAAUCCAGAGAUUACUACGUUGGAAGUCCUGCUUUUCACCUUUCUACCUAAAUUCUCUCUCCAGGGCCUCCUCCAUUUUCCUCCUUAUGUCAUUGAUACCAAGAGGUUUGCCAGAUUGUAACGGAAAAGAAAUGAACACUUUAUUUGUUCCAUUCAUUGUGAACUCAGUUUUGAGUGUGGUGCCUCUAGUGGCCUAAACUACCAGACCUCUUUGGAAGUUCAAUGCUUUUGGAUUUGAACUGUUAUCCAUUCCUCCCCUGCCCCACCACACCCCCAUCCCACACCUCAGGGAUCUCAGUACAUACCCCUGCAAUAACACACUGUACAUUCUACAUGGCUGCAUACAGGUAGGGACCAGUGUUUAAUUAAACAGCAGUCAAUUGAAGUUGACCACUUGGGGCUGUCAAUGGGGAACAGAACCACAUGGGAGCCUACCUGUUGCAAUUCCUGGGCCAGACUGAUUCAGAGAAUGAAGGACCAGUUAUUGAUCUAAAUGCAUCAUAAUUGUUCCAGGAGGAAAAGCCUUAUGACAGUGUCAUUGCUGUGUUGUAGCUGUGUUUCAAGUUUAUUGAUAUCAAGCAGAUCUGAAAACACAUUGUGACGACAGACCAAAUUAUCAGAAGAUUGAUGCCGAUAAGAGAACAAUGGGGGAACAUUCAGAAAUGUUAAUGAGAGAUGAGAGGGAUUAACGAAAAGGAGACACAGUUCUGAGUAUUGUCAGAGACCGGUUGCUUUGAACCCUGAACUGUUUGAAGUUUGAUGGACAGGCAGGGGGAUAAAAAGGGACGGGUUCGCUAAGACAACAGACACACGACACCACGAGGUAACAAGACCCUGGAAGCGUUGUGCCCCCACAAGUUGGUGACAGUUUUGGAGGUCUGGUUGCAGGAACAGCCAUAGACGCACAGAGUGGAAAGGUGCGGUCGGGCGGGAACCCGGUGUGUGUGUCCGCCCUUGCCUGGGUGCCGGGUUCACCGCAGAAGAACGAUCGUAUCUGGAACGGAGGGGUCACAGUCGGUGACCUCAGAAGACAUUACAAAGGGCUCGCCCAAAAACUAACUGCAAGGAAUAUCGAAGGUCUGUUUGGAAUCCGAUUUGCAUAUUCAUUCAUUCUCUCUCUCCCUCCCCAACGGCACGACGGCGAUUACUGCGAACUGAAACUGAACUGAACUCUGUGUCACUUGUGACUGAUCAUUUUACCCCUAGACUGCGAUAGAGCUUGAUUGAUCCUAUUAUCAUAGUUCCGUGUACAAAUGUGUUUAUUCAUUGCUAACCUGUUGCAUUUAUAUCCUUACUAUUAGAGUACUGUGUUACUUCUUUCUUUAAUAAAACUUCCUUAGUUCCAGUAAACCAGACUCCAACUAAGUGGUCCAUUUCUGCUGGUUUGGCAACCCAGUUACGGGGUACGUAACAACAUACAAUAAAGCUGUAUGGAACUUCUGUAUUGCAUUAGGUCUAUUUAGACUGGUCAGGAUAUACUGACCAGGAGAUGUAGUAGCAACAACUAAAAAGACAAAUAAAACAGUUCAGUUAAAUAUAGUUCAAAAUGUAUUUACAGUUAA